GUUCUGGGGGGAACGUCAUGGACGCAGGCCUAUGGACUCUAACCCUCUCGAAGGCAGCAUAUUCCCCGCCCUCAGCUGAGCUCCCGGAAGGAGACCGAAUUCCAUUCAGGUGGUUCCACGGCAGAGACUUUAAGAAAGAAUGAAUGUCACUAAUGAUCCAUGAUCCUGUAAAUUCUAAAAAUCCAGAUUCUCCAAUCUAGCCACUUGACAGAUAAGGAAACCAAGGCUCAGGGUGGACAGGUGUCCCCUGAGUACUAUGGAGAAAUAAGAAGAGAAACCACAUUUAAAGAACGUUUGCCUUUACACUCUUGCAUGUCAAUGUUGAUGGUGUUGGGAGGCUGUGAACACCAAUACAGUCUGCAUUAUUACCAGAGAGGGACUUGCCAUCGCUAACCCCAUUGUUUGACCAGCCCAGGUCUGGUCAACAAGGACGAUGAAGACACCUGAUGACUCCAUCACCUUUCUUGCAUCACUUGCAAUGCUGAUAACCCUCAACAUUUAAAUACCCAAAUAAA